AUUGAACGCUGGCGGCAGGCUUAACACAUGCAAGUCGAGCGGGGAAAGGUAGCUUGCUACCUGACCUAGCGGCGGACGGGUGAGUAAUGCUUAGGAAUCUGCCUAUUAGUGGGGGACAACAUCUCGAAAGGGAUGCUAAUACCGCAUACGUCCUACGGGAGAAAGCAGGGGACCUUCGGGCCUUGCGCUAAUAGAUGAGCCUAAGUCGGAUUGGCUAGUUGGCGGGGUAAAGGCCUACAAAGGCGACGAUCGGUAGCGGGUCGGAGAGGAUGAGCCGGCCCACUGGGACUGGGACACGGCCCAGACUCCUACGGGAGGCAGCAGUGGGGAAUAUUGGACAAUGGGGGGAACCCUGAUCCAGCCACGCCGCGUGUGUGAAGAAGGCCUUUUGGUUGUAAAGCACUUUAAGCGAGGAGGAGGCUACCGAGAUUAAUACUCUUGGAUAGUGGACGUUACUCGCAGAAUAAGCACCGGCUAACUCUGUGCCAGCCGCCGCCGUAAAAC
rnacentral:rRNA from 1 species